CAACGUCAGAAGUCGCACAUCGAUAAACAGGAUAACAAUCUUUCGAAGGCAGUUGAGGAGACUCCGACUUCGUAUUGGAAGGGUGUGCACCAGAGCGGGCAGCGCCAGUAGCGCAGCCACAGCCCCGCAGACCCGGCCGCCCCCCGCACCGCGCGCUGCAUUGCCCACCACACCAACCACCAUACUCACCUGCAAACAGG